GAGGAGAUGUGGCUGUGAGACACUGGGCUUGUACAGAAUUUGCCACCAGGCCCUGAUGCCGUUUGCGCAGGUAGAUCUGUGGUUGUGGGCAGAAAAACUUCAAUUAAACAUGCUUCCCACUGGACACAGUGAUGGACCAAAUGCCAGCCAGCCCAAAGAAUCUAAGGAAGACCGUGAAGAACGAAUUCUUGCCUUGCUAGGCAUAAUUGGGACAAUUUUAAACCUACUGGUAAUAAUCUUCGUUUACAUAUAUACUACGAUCUAGACAUUUACGACAAACACAAGGAGAAGACAUUCUGGAAUGGACCUGAAGUUGGAAUAUUCGAUGACUUUGCAUAACUUUUAAACUCUAUCAAACCUAGAGUGUCUAUGAUGCUAAACAGGCUCUGUUCAAAACAUUAACAUUUCCCAUUGUUUAGUGCUUAACAGAAUUAUAAAUAAUGUUAAAACUACUCAUUUACUUGAUCAUUCAUGCUUGUAUCAAGUUUGCAAAGCUAUAGGCAUGCAUGAAUAUUUCACACAAAUUACUUUUCUAAGCCAGAUGUUUACCAAAUCCUUUAUAAAAAGAAAACCAUGAGGUGGUAACUUUUCAAAUGGGCCACAAAGAAACAAAAAUGACUUCUGCUGUGAAACAUUGAAAAUUAUAGUACAUGUUAUUUCAAUCAAAAAUUGUGUAAUGAAAGAUGAAACUUUUGAAGAUAAUGUCACUUUUUAUGCUUUUUAAAACUACACUGCAUCACUGAUGACUGCUUCUUACAUUUUCAUAAAUGAGCAAGUUCCCUGUAAAAACAGAACUACUCAAAAAGCACAAAGGUUUGGUCACUGGAACAUGAUACAGAAGUCAUUAUUUAGAAAAAUGUGUCAACCUUUGCAGUUUGAUGCUGUGGCAUUGCUAAUGAGUAAAAGUGACAAAAGGCCUGAUUUGGGAACUACAGCUACCAAUCUGACUGCUGGUGUACAACCUCCAGAAGCAAUCUGUGGUCACUUGUAAGAUGUAAGGUUAUAAGAGAGUAGAGCUUGGGAAAAGUAAAUGAUCUGUCACGUGGCAGUAUUAACUUGUAUGCUAUGGACAGCAUAUCUGACGAAGGUAGCAGAUGUCUUGUAGUUCUAAUUAUUUCAAACUAAGUGUAUGACACAGAGUCAAAUGCUCAUAUUUUAGAGUUUAUGUUUACAUUUAAUCUGGAAUUGCGAAUGCCUGGACAAGUCAUGGAACCUGGACAGCAGCUGAAGAGACUUCAAGUGGAUUAUGUUUUCUCAUUCUGGAUCCCAUUCUUUUUAAAGUAUAUUUCCCAGGAUUAACAGAUUUACAAUGUCACUGUAACAUAAAAUACAGCAUGUGGUCAGUUAUGAUCUGUUGCCAUUGCACACUCGGUUUUAUUGUUUAUAAAAUGUGAAUAACCAUAUUACAAAGAUCAUUUUAACUUAUAGCUUUCAUUGCUCCACAAUAAUAACUGUAUUAAUAAUAAUAAUAAUAAUAAUAAUAAUAAUACAGGGUUUCCUAUUGAGGUGGAUUCUGUUCAAUAUAUAGUCAGUCCAGAAUUUUUGGACAGAUGUGAUGAUUACAUUACAAUAAGAUAACAUGUUAAUCACAUUAACAUUCUAAAGAUACAUAUACUAUAUUAAAUAUGUUUUCUGUAAAAAUUAUAUUUCUUUGUAUUUUUAUUGGUGUAUUUAUUAUGCAGGUUAUACAUAAGAAGAAUGCAAUGCUUUUGAGCUGUAAUAGCACUAUUUAUCAAUUACCAUUGUGUAGCAAAAAGUAUGGGUGAUAUAUGGACUUAAAUGACUUAACAUUCUUCAGAGAAGUGUUAUUCAUGUUAAAAUGGGAAAGUAAAUGUAUAAGAAAUGAAAAAAAUGCUUUGCCGUGUCUAAAGUAGUUAUACAAAUGAGCUAUGUUCUAUGCAAUGACAGGUUUCUCAGAUCAUUUAAAUUCCAGCCAAAGCAUUCUAUAAAUAACGGGGCCAUUAUUCUAAUGAAAGCUUGCUGUUUUGUUGUGGGAAUGGCUUACUUAGUUCUUUGAUUCUGAACUAGGUACAUUGUUUUCAUCAUUACCAAGUAAAUCCUUUGUGCUCCAGAUUUUUUAUAUAAAAUAUGAAAAGUUCCCAAAGAUUGUGCGCCCUCUGUGUAUAGAAUUUUGUAUGACAAACUAUAAUAACAUUCCAUAAUUCAGUGUCACUAAGGACACAUGGAACUGUCAGACUGCCAGAGUACAGAUAAGGCACAAGUGAUAGAUUGCUAGCAUGCUCUAAAGGCACAAUCUUAUUAAAAUGUUACAGAAGUGAAUAAACCUGUGCAGAGCUGAAUAAGAGUCAGCGAUCAAAUCAUUCCGUUGUCAUAUGUAUCACACAUGUAAAUGGCUUAACUAUGACACUCAUGCAAGUGCAUACAAAUAAAUGUCUUGAAAACAAUUGUUCUUACAGGUUUGUAGAACUCUACAGAACAUGUUGAUUAUUCAGAACAUAAACAGCCUCAUUUGAUAAAAGUAUGUAUUAUAAAACACUGCAUUGCUUCUGUGUCCUGCAUGUACUACUAUGAACUGCUUCAUAUGCACCAGCCUUAGUAUAUGCAAAACCAUUAAAUUGUGAUCAGCCCUGCAUGGAGCUGAAAGGAAAGUUAUCACCAUUUAUUUUCAUUUACUAUCACACAGUCAGCAGAUCCAGCAGUCUUCCAUUAUAAAUGCAUAUCUACUGUAUGAGAAAUAUUCUAUUUAACAUUUUUGUAUGUUUCUUUAUUCUGCCUUGCUUUUGUACUCUGCAAAUGUAAUGUUAUAAAAGCUUCUUAUAGUGAUGGUGCUUCUUUCAGUCAAUUAUUCUUCUUUGCAGUUCUAAACCCUGAAUUUCAUGCAGUUUAUACAAAUGGGCACAGAAUAUUGUACUGUGUCACUGGCAUUGUCAGUGCUAAAUGUGUUGCAUGUGGUUAAGUAAGCGAGACAUUACAACAUGCAAGACAUUACAACAUGCAGAACACAUCUGAGUCUCUUUUAUCAGUGUCCAGUUGUUAAGAGCAAGUGGUCCCAUUCUGAUAUGUUCAUGAUUAUUCACAUUAGCUCCUUUACUUGUUAAUAAUCUUGAACUAUACCCUGUUACUAUUUAUAUGAUUUUCAUAUUUAAAAUGUCACCUAAAUAAAUAACUUACAUUUCUGCUAAAUGUUCCUGACUGUUGUUGUAUACCACAUCAGUAUUAAACAUCACAAGGCAGAUUACUCCUCCAAAGAAUAUGUAUUUCAUGACAUAAUUUACAGACAUCUACUAGUUGACAAAUAUCAGAAGUGUCCCAGUUGGCUCUCCUUACUUGCAUUUAUUUUAAACCAAAAUGUUUUAUAUUACUUACAGGUCAGUUCUUGCUCAAUCUUUACAAUGAGUAUCAUAGAAUAAACACAUCACAUUUUAUUGUUUUAAAAUAAAUGCAAUAUUUAAUCAAGGAGCACUUGUUCAUUUUUGUAAGUUUCACAAGACACUCCUGUUUUACUGUAUAGAAACCAAUAUGUCUGUAGCUGAAAGAAGAAUAAUCUUGUCUGCUUGAAAAUGUUGAUGAGAUAAUUUCUGAAAUAGAUUGGCCUGAAUUUGUACAGUUCAUUUCACAGCUGAGCAGAUAGCACUGUGAGAAGUAUACAAUUGUUUACUGUGCACAAAAACUACUAAUGAAGUAAAAAUUAAUUAUAAGUUCUGAAAUGUCAUUGCUACUGAUAUAUCUAAAACUGUCAUGGAAUGUUCUUUCACUUUCAUUGAAGAACAUAAAAAACAUACUGAAGAAAAACAUGUAUGCUCCAAAAAGCUUGCUGUUGACAUGACAACCAAGUAAAUUUUGAGAGGUCAAUUGAUAAUGAAAAGUGUAACUAAAUUUUUGAAAUAAAUUAUCAGAAUGUCACAUUCUUAUUUUCAUAACUAAAACUGAAGCCAUAUCAGAUAAAGUGUAAUCAGAGAAUCAGUUCUUAAUAGAUGUCAUUGUACAAAUUUGCAUAAUUUUAGAUAGUUACCAUACUCCAGAUUUGUAUAGCACAUUUUUCAUCCAAUUGAUUAUGCUGAAGAAUUUUGUCUAAUGCCUGAAAUAAUUCAAAUAAUUCAAGAAACAUAGAUUUCAUUAAAAUUUGAACCAAAGGUCUUCAGUAAAUUAUCUCACUAUAUAAUGAUACAACUAAAUUCAUGAGAAGUAUGCAGUGGAACCAGAUGUUUUAUUAACAGCAGAAAUUAGUACAAAUGUCUAAACCUGGACAUAACUAAGAUAUUUUUUAUGAAUUUAAUGAUGAGUAACUUCCAGUGCAGAAAGGUAAUGCACAUGGAAGGAUAUUAUGUAAAUGAAAAAAAUAUUAUCAAUUGGUAAUAAACGAUAUAUGUAAAAUGUA